UACGCCUGGAACGGUGGGUGGAUGAAAGCUCCGGCGGCAUAGGAUGGGCCUGCGACGUAUCAGGUUGUAGGGGGUGUAACGUACCCUCUAGCCAUCAACGCGUACGGGUGUUGGGAGACAUAGCCCGGAGAUGGAUUCUGAGACACGAAUCCAGACCCUACGGGGUGCAGCAGGCGCGAAAACUUGGCAAUGCGAGCAAUCGUGACCAGGGAACUCCAAGUGGCUGGGGUAAUACCCAGUUUUUUCUUGACUCUUCAAAGGUCUUGGAAUAAGGGGUGGGUAAGGACGGUGCCAGCCGCCGCGGUAAUACCGGCGCCUCAAGUGGUAGUCGCUUUUAUUGGGCCUAAAACGUCCGUAGCCGGUCUGGUGCAUUCGUGGGUAAAUCAACCCGCUCAACGGGUUGAAUUCUGCGAGCACGGCCAGACUUGGGACCGGGAGAGGUGUGGGGUACUCUCAGGGUAGGGGUAAAAUCCUGUCAUCCUGAGAGGACCACCUGUUGCGAAGGCGCCACACUAGAACGGAUUCGACGGUCAGGGACGAAACCUAGGGGCACGAACCGGAUUAGAUACCCGGGUAGUCCUAGGUGUAAACGCUGUGGACUUGAUGUUGGGGGUGCUCCGAGCACUCUCAGUGUCGAAGCGAAGGUGAUAAGUCCACUGCCUGGGGAGUACGGUCGCAAGGCUGAAACUUAAAGGAAUUGGCGGGGGAGCACUGCAACCUGAGGAUUGUGCGGUUUAAUUGGACUCAACGCCGGGA
rnacentral:rRNA from 1 species